rnacentral:lncRNA from 1 species
AAAAAGAAGGCAGCCAAGGCCCACAAGGUUCCUCCAGGCCCCAGCUACCCUAUUUCCUCUAGCCUGCCCCUGUAAUGUAACCAGAUGACCUGUCGCCUCCCUAUUCUCCCUGCAUUCCAGGGCCCACCUAACGCAUCUGGAGGCCUCACGGAGGCCUUGGGGCCCCCUGAGGACCACAAAUCCGUUACUUCUCAGUGCCCUUAGGGACAUGGAGAAUGGUCCAAAAACAGUCUAUGCAAAUACAUGCAAAAGAGAUGUAAAUAGAAAUGUGAGCAUCCCCAGUUAAAGCCAAUUUCGGCUUUAAGUGUUGCUUCCCUCCUCUCUGCUUUGCCUGAGUCAUCAAAAUUUACACAAGCGCUGGUGUGAGGAAACCGCAGUGCAAUGCUGAUUCUACACCAUCCUGCACUGGGACGGUGGUGUCUGCUGUUCCGGGAUUGAGAGAGAUGAAGCACUUACUCACCUCAGUGACUGGUGUGCGCAGCCACUCCCUAGCCGGCUUCUUCCAUGGCAGGACCUGCAAAUGCUGGACUCACAGAAGGCUCUGAGAAGUAAAUAACAGAUGGAGUUUUACUUUUGCUGCCCAGGCUGGAGUACGAUGG